rnacentral:tRNA from 1 species
AGAAAAGAUCGUUAAGCUUCUAACUUAAUCUAUUGGUUUCYCCCACUUUUCUU